CUGAGAUACAGUUUUACAUUUGAAUCUAGAGCUACGGGAUUAUAAAGAACGAACACCUGAGGAUCCCAGAAAGGCAGUCAGAGGGAAACCAUCCCUGAUCUGAGUCUUAGAGGAUAAACUUGGCAAGAGUAAGACUGGUCAUAAUUUGAUAGACACAAUAAAACGGUUCCUUAUCCUGGAUGCACAUAAUAGAAAUCUCCACUUGGAUGUCUAAAAGGUUGAGUUUCCUGAGGCCAAUGCCUCUGUCUGAUUUUUCCUAUCUCCAGUAUGCAGCUCUGAGUGUGGCACUCUGUAGUUACUCAACAAUGAGUGAUUGACUGUAAAUACUCAUUCAGAUGCCACUUUUCUUCAAGAGAAGCCUGGUGUAGCAGAAACCUCCAAAGGCUCUGAGAGGAUGGAAUUCCACAGGGUGGUAG
rnacentral:lncRNA from 1 species